AUUAAACGCUGGCGGCAUGCCUUACACAUGCAAGUCGAACGGCAGCACGGGGGCAACCCUGGUGGCGAGUGGCGGACGGGUGAGUAAAGCAUCGGAACGUAUCCUGGAGUGGGGGGAUAACGUAGCGAAAGUUACGCUAAUACCGCAUAUUCUGUGAGCAGGAAAGCAGGGGAUCGCAAGACCUUGCGCUCUGGGAGCGGCCGAUGUCGGAUUAGCUAGUUGGUGGGGUAAAGGCCUACCAAGGCGACGAUCCGUAGCGGGUCUGAGAGGAUGAUCCGCCACACUGGGACUGAGACACGGCCCAGACUCCUACGGGAGGCAGCAGUGGGGAAUUUUGGACAAUGGGCGCAAGCCUGAUCCAGCCAUGCCGCGUGAGUGAAGAAGGCCUCGGUUGUAAGACUCUUUCGGUCCGGGGGAAGGAAAGUUUAGGCACCGGGGUUUAAGUACCCUGUGUAGAUGACGGUACCGAA
rnacentral:rRNA from 1 species